rnacentral:lncRNA from 1 species
ACAUAAAAUUGUAGGUACUUUCAAGAAAUAUAGUUAACUACAAGAAUUAGAUUACAGUGAUGGUCAAAAGCAUUUAGAUAUUGCUUUGAAAUCUACAGAUAAGGUAUGGCAGUUUCAUUUUAAAGAAGAAGAUGUUAAAGUUUGUGAUAAAAUUGUCAUCAGAAAUACUGUCCACUUCAGUAUUUACAUAGGAAAAUAUUGGAGGAUGAAGCUCUACCUACUGCCUCAGGUUAAUUUAAAUUCUGAAUUGCAACAACAGUAACAAGCAAGAAGGGCACCAUUAAAUGAAUAUUAUACACAUAAAGCAACAACACAAUAAAAAACCAAAAUAUGAACACCAGCAACUAAAACAGGAACCAUUAAAUGAAUAUUAUACACAGCAAUAACAGCAUCAAAUAAUGGAAAUAAUGGACCCUACUGCUCAAAUCAAAAACAAAAUUUCAUCAUUACCACUUUAUUGGUUAUAUCAAUAAAAGAAAUUAUUGAGUUUAUGAGUCUAGAUCCUACAAGCAAGCAGAUCUAUCACAUAAUUUAAAAUGAAGAUUUAUCUAUUAUAGUAAUUUAUUCUAAUAAUGAAAAAGAAACUUUGGAUCAAAAAAUAUUUUCUUCUGAUGAGGCUUAUGAAUAUUAAAGUCUGUUGAAGUUUGGCCAUUAUGUGUUGGUAUACAAUUUAUUUAUGAUGUUACAGUAGUUAAACCAUCCGAAUACAAAACAUAUUUAAAAUCCACUAUUCUUAAUGAACCAACUUGAGAGGAAGCUAAGAGAAAGGUUCUAUUGGGUGGACUACAAGAAAAAGGGACAUAUACAUGAGGAUCUGGAAGGGCUAUAACAUUACGUCUCAAGCCAUGGAACAAUAGGAAACGAAAUUCAAAGGAAAAUAUUACAAUACGUGGGAUGCAAAUUAUAGUGCAAAGAAUUGAGAAAAAGAAUUAUUAAAAGUAGUUAUAGUUACGAUAGUUAAACCAUCCGACUACCAAAUAUAUUUAAAAUCCACUAUUCUGAAUGAAUAGCAACUACCAACUUGGGAGGAAGCUGCGAGAACGAUUCUAUUGGGUGAACUACAAGGAAGACAUGAGGAUCUGGAAGGGCUAUAAAAUUAUAUUAUUCCACGUCCCAAGCCAUGUUGGAAUAGCUGGGAGUGAAAAA